rnacentral:rRNA from 1 species
UACGAAGGGGGCUAGCGUUGCUCGGAAUCACUGGGCGUAAAGCGCACGUAGGCGGAUCUUUAAGUCAGGGGUGAAAUCCCGGAGCUCAACUCCGGAACUGCCUUCGAUACUGGCGAUCUUGAGUCCGGGAGAGGUGAGUGGAACUCCGAGUGUAGAGGUGAAAUUCGUAGAUAUUCGGAAGAACACCAGUGGCGAAGGCGGCUCACUGGCCCGGUACUGACGCUGAGGUGCGAAAGCGUGGGGAGCAAACAGG